CUCAAUUGUGUUUUUCCGGUAUUAGUUUGUCCAUUUAAAACUUUUUCCUGUGAUCACAGAAACUUUGAGUGUGUCAACCAGGCUUAAUAGUCUGAUGAUGAUUUUAUAAAAUCCAAACACUGUGUCUGUGAUAUUUUGAUAUUGCAAUUUUGAUAGGCAGAUGCUCUGAGCGACUUGCAACCGGCGCGAACAAAUAGCAAGUUAAAAUUCACAAAAGAUUUGUAAACAAAGCCUCUGAGUGGACUAUAAGAAAGAUGGAAGCACCAAUCUAGUUG